GUGGGGAAUCUUCCGCAAUGGACGAAAGUCUGACGGAGCAACGCCGCGUGAGUGAAGAAGGUUUUCGGAUCGUAAAGCUCUUUCGUUAGGGACGAACGUGCUCUUUGUGAAUAAUGAGGAGUAAUGACGGUACCUAAAUAAGAAGCCACGGCUAACUACGUGCCAGCAGCCGCGGUAAUACGUAGGUGGCAAGCGUUGUCCGGAAUUAUUGGGCGUAAAGCGCGAGCAGGCGGGAUAUCAAGUCUGUCUUAAAAGUGCGAGGCUCAACCUCGUGAGGGGACAGAAACUGGUAUUCUUGAGUGUCGGAGAGGAAAGUGGAAUUCCAAGUGUAGCGGUGAAAUGCGUAGAGAUUUGGAAGAACACCAGUGGCGAAGGCGACUUUCUGGACGAUGUCUGACGCUGAGGCGCGAAAGCUAGGGGAGCGAACGGGAUUAGAAACCCUUGUAGUCC
rnacentral:rRNA from 1 species